rnacentral:rRNA from 1 species
UGAGCUUGAUCCUGGCUCAGGACGAACGCUGGCGGCGUGCCUAAUACAUGCAAGUCGAGCGAAUCUGAUAAAAGCUUGCUUUUUGAAGAUUAGCGGCGGACGGGUGAGUAACACGUGGGCAACCUGCCUGUAAGACUGGGAUAACUUCGGGAAACCGGAGCUAAUACCGGAUAAUAUAAAGAACCUCCUGGUUCUUUAUUGAAAGAUGGUUUCGGCUAUCACUUACAGAUGGGCCCGCGGCGCAUUAGCUAGUUGGUGAGGUAACGGCUCACCAAGGCGACGAUGCGUAGCCGACCUGAGAGGGUGAUCGGCCACACUGGGACUGAGACACGGCCCAGACUCCUACGGGAGGCAGCAGUAGGGAAUCUUCCACAAUGGACGAAAGUCUGAUGGAGCAACGCCGCGUGAGCGAUGAAGGCCUUCGGGUCGUAAAGCUCUGUUGUUAGGGAAGAACAAGUACCGGAGUAACUGCCGGUACCUUGACGGUACCUAACCAGAAG